GUGCCCUUUUAAUGUUGACGCAGUGUCUUAGGAGGCUAACACAGAAGGGUAAAGACAGUCUCCGUAAAAUCCAGAGAAUAGACCGUGGAACUCCUCUUUGGAUCCCGGCUGGAGUCACAGCU
ensembl:snoRNA